UGGGGAAUAUUCGGCAAUGGGCGCAAGCCUGAUCCAGCCAUGCCGCGUGUGUGAUGACGGCCUUAGGGUUGUAAAGCACUUUCGCUAGGGAAGAUAAUGACGGUACCUAGUAAAGAAACCCCGGCUAACUCCGUGCCAGCAGCCGCGGUAAUACGGAGGGGGUUAGCGUUGUUCGGAAUUACUGGGCGUAAAGCGCACGUAGGCGGACUGUUAAGUCAGGGGUGAAAUCCCGGGGCUCAACCCCGGAACUGCCCUUGAUACUGGCAGUCUAGAGUUCGAGAGAGGUGAGUGGAAUUCCGAGUGUAGAGGUGAAAUUCGUAGAUAUUCGGAGGAACACCAGUGGCGAAGGCGGCUCACUGGCUCGAUACUGACGCUGAGGUGCGAAAGCGUGGGGAGCAAACAGGAUUAGAUACCCCUGUAGUCC
rnacentral:rRNA from 1 species